AGUGAACGCUGGCGGCGUGCUUAACACAUGCAAGUCGAACGAGUAAGUGCUGUAGUAAUACAGAUUACUGCUAGUGGCAGACGGGUGAGUAAUACAUGGGAAUCUGCCUUAAAGCCUGGGAUAACUGUUGGAAACGACAGCUAAUACCGGAUAACACCGAGAGGUCAAAGAUUUAUCGCUUUAAGAUGAGCCCAUGCAAGAUUAGCUAGUUGGUAGGGUAAAGGCCUACCAAGGCGAAGAUCUUUAGCUGGUUUGAGAGGAUGAUCAGCCACACUGGAACUGAGACACGGUCCAGACUCCUACGGGAGGCAGCAGUGGGGAAUAUUGGACAAUGGGCGAAAGCCUGAUCCAGCAACGCCGCGUGAGUGAUGAAGGCCUUCGGGUUGUAAAGCUCUUUCAGUAGGGAAGAUAAUGACGGUACCUACAGAAGAAGCUCCGGCUAACUUCGUGCCAGCAGCCGCAGUAA
rnacentral:rRNA from 1 species